GCGCCGGGCUCGCUCCAUGCCACGGCCGCUCCGCGCCCCGCCUCCUCCGCCAGCUCCUCCCUCUGCGGGCGGCGGCGGCCGGCGCGCCCUGAGUCCGCGGUGCCCCCCGCAGACCCCACGCGGGCGGCUGGAAAGAAACACCGAGGGCCCAGAGGUGGGCGCACUGGGGAACGGCGGGCAGAACUGUCAGGCAACCUCUGCCUGAGGGUCUCUUCCUUCUCAGCACCCCCAACACACUCUGCCACAUCCUGGCUGGCAGACCACUGUCACACCAGGUUCCAACCUGAGCUCAUGUGUCAUCUCACCAUGCCAGUGGAACCUGGGUAUGUCACCCUAAGGAUGACAGUCAUGGCCACAAGCCCCCAUGGGGUCCACACACAGGCAACCUAUAAAUAAGAAAAGGCUAGCAAUCUAUGGAAAGCCAUUCCUAGUGUGUUUCCCACCCAUGCUACUGGUCAGCCAGACCUAAGGACAAAAGAAAAAUUAUGUGACUGAUUUCAGAGUACAGUAGGUAAUUUUGGGGUGUGGGGUUUUUUGGGGGGUUGUUUGUUGUUUUGGGAUUUUUUGUUCGUUUUUUGGUUUGGUUUGGGUUUUGGUGUGGGCUGUUUGUUUGUUUGUGUGUUUGUUGAGACAGAGUCUCACUGUGUAGCCCUGGCAGGCUAGGAACUCACAGAGAUCUGCCAGCCUCUGCCUCUCAAGAGCUGGAGUUAAAGCCCUGGAGUAUCUACCGUGCCUGACUCCCGGACUUGUAUUUAUCCUAAACUAACUUUGGAACAAUCCAGAAAGACCCCUGUAAUAGUAAGAGAUGCUAAAUUAAUUAAGCUUGUUUGAUAUAUUAAAUUGUUUGAAAACAGUGUUACAUAUGUAAUACUAAACCUCCUUUUGGGGUGGAGCCUGGGGGGUAAGGACAGGAAAUUCCUAUAUAGCCCAGGUGGGCCCCAAACUUGUUACUAUCCUGCCUUGGCCUCCACAGUCCUAGGAACAUAGGCAUACACCCUCCAGGUACCAAAUUUUAAACUGUAUUUUCACAUACUUUCCUGACUCAAACAUUCUAAAAUUGUACAGAACUCCUAGAAGUUUGACCUGUCUUGAUAUCCUCUUUUUGGUCGUUAAGUCUGGUUGUGAUAAAAUCUUGUAAUCGGUAAGAAGUAACGCAGUCGCUUGUCGGCUGACCUUAUCAUCAGAUCUCAGCCAUGGCUGAUUUCCAUCUUGUCAAGUAUACAGUUAUUCUUCUCAGUCUUUUCCAAAGGUGUGUGCAACAAGCUGCAGCCAAAAAUUAUCUCUCCUUCAAAGACAGUGUUGCACUUAGACAAGUGCUGUGGAAUCCAGGUUCCCAGCAACUUUCCGACCAUACCAUUAGCUUGAACAGGAAUUUUCAGGACUGUAAUGAAGAAGGGAAAGCCAGGGAUGGUGGCGCAUGCUCACAAGUAGUUCCGAGGCUGAGUCCAGAGGACUUGGUGAACCCAGGAGUCCAGGGCCAGCCUGGGCAAUAUAGAAACACUGAGAAGGGGUGGGGGCGGGAAGAGGAGAGAAGGGUAAAUGAAAAGCGAAUGAGAGAGAGGGAAGAAGAGAGAGAGAAGAGGAAGAAAAGAGGAGAGAAAAAGAGAAGAGGGAGAGGUGGAAGGAGAAAUACCCGGUGGUUUGGAGAGACUGCUAACCAAGUCCAAGCAAAACAAGACUUGGGACAAGGGCCUGGCAUAAUGCUCACACCUGCAGUCCUGGCACUUAAAGAUGAGGUAAGAGAUCAUCAUAAAUGCAAGCCCAGCCUGGAGGAGAGGGGGAACCCAGGCCUUUUAGGAUGCAGAAUAAGACUCUGUCUCAAAAUAAUAAACAAGCAGAAAAAGAAGUAAUAACAGACCGGAAAACAGGUGAGUUAUCUCAGUGUGUCUGAGUCCAGUUAAUUUCAGUGUAUGCUUUUUUUUUUUUUUUAACUUUUUUGUGUUUGGUUGGUUGCUUUGGUUUGGCUCGGUUUGGUUCCGUUCAAUCUGCGUAGCCCUGGCUGUCCUGGAACAGCUCUGUAGACCAGGCUAACCUUGUACUCCCAGAGAUAUGCUGGCCUCUGCCUCCCGAGUGCUGGGAUUAAAGGCAUGCGCCACCAUUGCCCAUCUUUUUCAAUUUUUUUGUUUUUUGUUUUUUUGUUUUUCGAGACAGGAUUUCUCUGUAUAGCCCUGGCUGCCCUGGAACUCACUCUGUAGACCAGGCUGGCCUCAAACUCAGAAAUCCGCCUGCCUCUGCCUCCCGAGUGCUGGGAUUAAAGGCGUGAGCCACCACUGCCUGGCUCAACUGUUUUAAUAACUUUUUUUUUUAAGAAAAAAGAUGAGGUGAGUGGUUGUAUGUGUAUUUGAGUUUCUUCUCAUUUUAAUGUUCUAGAUUUAAGGAAAUAUGCUUCCCUUGUCCUUUAGGCUCUCUGUGGCCUAUUGGUUACUUUUUGAAAAUUAAAACUGAAAUAUUCACUCCUUCCCCCCACCCCCCCCUCCACCUGAUCCUUCAGCACUGGAAAAGCUGAUCGUGGAUAUUUUUAUUACGUGGGAAUAUAAUUGUCUGCACAAGUUCCGUAGGAAACUUCUGUUUUUUAAUAGAGUACAAUUGGAAAAACCGAUUCCACCACCAAGGCUUUGGUUAGAAUGUGCUUUGAGAAUCUGCAUAGGAUGGCAACCUGCAAGAGCUGUCCCAAGCCUUGUUGUGAGUAAAAUCUCACUUCCUGCCAGGUUUCCUCCAGAAACGUGAAGGUAUUUGAAAGACCUUAAAAAAAAAAAAAAAGAGUAACGACUGCAGAGAAAGUUGGAGGUUUGUCUUGAUAUAAAGUCCAAACGGAGGCCCCUUAUCAAGCAUUUCAGCUAAACAGACUUAAGAAGAGCCUAUGUCGUUAACUAUGUCCUUACUAAAGGAGUGGUUGUGUUGUUAUUGCUGUUGCUGGAAGAUAGUAUCAUGUAGUCCAGGCUGGCCUCAAAUUCACUUUCAUGAGGCUUAUAGGUGUGCUCUACUGUGACUGCCUUAUUCAGUCCUGGUGAUACAACCCAGAGCUCUACAUAGCUGGGCCCCUGCCUACCAAUUUAACUAUGUUCUAAGCCUUUCCUACUAAAUGUGUAUAAAUAGGCUAAGGUUCAAGAGAAUGAUGUGGCUACAGAGAAGAAAAUUAUGCUUCAGAGAAAAACUGCAGUACACUGUUCUGAGACUGUGGGCCUGCUAACUGUUUUGGAAUGCUAUUACUACUAUUUAUUACCUGUAGACCUAACUGGAUAGUGAUUUUCCAUUUUCCUCCAUUUGAAUUUUUUUCCCCACAUUUCCAACUUAGAAUCACUAAGAACAAGACCUGCUCGGUUCCUGAAAACUCCGAAGCUGGAGAGAGACACAUUGAUGUAAUUCCAGAGGAUAACCCUACCCCCGAUGCUGGCCACCAGGGGAGGCCAGGCAUCUCUGUGCCAGAAAUACGGGCGUUCAAGAUGCGAGCCAGGAAACAUGCUUAGAGCUCAACUCCAGAAAUCUUGGCUAACUCCCUUCUGGACUCCCAACUGAUUUUGUUUGUUCUAAUGAUUUGCCUUUGCUAGGGUUUUAUCCUAUAGAAAUAUUAUCCUGAGCCAGACAUGGCUCAGCACACCUUUAAUCUCAGCACUCGAAAGCAGAGGCAGGUGGAUCUCUGUAAAUUGGAGGCCAGAUUGGUCUACAUAGUGAGUUUCAGGAUAUACAGAGAGACCCUGUCUCAAAAAAAAAAUUGUGUCUGUGUGUGUGUCUGUGUGUAUCUGUGUGUGUGUGUGUGUGUGUCUGUGUGUGUGUGUGUGUCUGUGUGUGUGUGUGUCUGUGUCUGUGUGUCUGUGUGUGUGUGUAUAUAAAAGUUUGGUUGGUAGAAUCCUCAGCUAAGGACAAACUCUAUUCCUGGGCAUCUGCCUGAUACUCCUCUCAUUCUCCAGCAUUCUACAUUCUUUCUAGGGUCUCAAAAGUGUCUCCACAGCCAUCCACAAUGUGCUCACACCAAAAAUGAGAUUUUUUUUUUUAAAAAAAAACUUCAACAUCUUAACAGUAUGAUUGGAGUCAAAGACAUCGUGCCCAUGACACAUGGUUCCAAUUAUGCUCCGAGUUCUGGUCAAAGUGGAUAACUUGUUUUAAGUGCCAGGCAUAGGGUGAAACAUGUCUUUAAACUCAGCACUUGGAUCUCCCUGGGAGUUUGAGGCCAGCCUGGUCUAUGUAGUGAAUUCCUGGCCAGCCACAGUGAGACCCUGUCUCAAAAACUAAUAAUAAAUUUUACAAAAUCAUCUAAUUGCAAUGCCAUUAAUAAGAGUGACUCUGGCCACUCUUUAAAUUCCUACCAAACAAGCCAGGGUGACAGUAAACCAUCGUCUGAAGCCAGAGGCCACACUAAUGAGACCACCAACUAACUACAAAAAACAAAUCUUUUCUUGUCUCUACAAAGAUAUGACCUUUUGCUCCUUCAUAGAGUACAACCUCCACUUAUGAACUGCAGAAUAAUCAAAACUCCUUGUAGCUCAGUGGUUUAGAGCACUAGCUACUCCUCUAGAAGACCCAGGUUCAAUUCCCAGCACCCACAUUGCAGCUCACAACUGUCUGUAACUCCAGUUCCAGGGGAUCCAUCCGACCAAACAUGCCUGUGGUGCACAUAUAUGUGCAUGCAGACAAAAUACACAUACAUAUAAAGUAAAAUAAAUAUUCGAAAAAUAACUUAGGACUGCUUAUGUUUUUCAUUCAACAAUGGGUUCUUUGCUACAUCAAAAGCAUGAGCAAAUAAAAAACAAAAACGAGCAGGUUUUUGUGUCUACGAAGACAAGUGCCUGUGGUGAGGCAGGAAGAUCACCUGAGACCAGAAUUCAAAAUGAAUCUGGGCAAGAAACAGAGCAGUAUACAGGAUCUGGUUUCUGCAAUCCCUAUUCUCAGAAGCUAAGGUAGAAGAACUGUCAAGAGUUUGACCCCAGCCUGGGCUACAUACCAAGUUUAACAACAGCCUGGGCUAUAGUGAAACCCUAUCUCAAAAAAAUAGAUAUAUAUGAUACAUUUUUUUAAUUUGUUACAUCUAUUUAUUUGUGUACGUGUAUAUAUAUAUGUGUGUGUGUGUGUGUGUGUGUGUGUGUGUGUGUGUGUGUGUGUAUGCACAUGCAUGUUCCGUGGCCCACAUGUGAAAGUCCUUCCACCAUGUGGGUUUCCCAGGGAUUGAUCUAGUUGCCAGGCUUGGCAGCAAGCUCCUUUAACCAUUAACCCAUCUUGCUGGCCAUCUAUUCUUUGUAUAUUCAAAAUAUAUAAAGAAUUCUUAUAAUCCAACAAUAAGUAAAACGGUUUUUAAGUUAGAAAAGGCCUUCACUUUUCUCCAAAGACACACAAGUGAACAACAAACUCUUGUAAAUAAGCUUAAUAUCACUGGUCACUAGGAAACCACAAACCACAAUGAAAUAUCGCACCAUAUCCAACAGAAUUAACUACAAUUUAAAAAAUAAAUAAAUAAGCACCAGACAGGCUUCAGGAAGAAUGUAAAGAAGUUAAAAAGUUAGAAACUUACGCACGGCUGACAGAAGUUUGGUGGGAAACAGUUUGGAAGUUCCUCUAAAACUGUAAGAAAUGUCAUGUCACCUAGAAAUUCCACCCCUCAGGAUAAACCCAGAAGAAGUGUAAACAAGUAUUCAUAUAAAUACACGUACAGACAUGUUUGUGAUGGUGAUAGCAAUAUUCAUAUGUUAUAGGAACCAGCUAGAGAGAUGGCCCAGCUGUUAAGAGGGUAUGCCACUCAGCCCAGCGGUGGUGUCCUACUCAGGAGACAAAGGUAGGUGGAUCUCUGAAUUUGAGGCCAGCUUGGUUUACAGAGCUAGUUCCAGGACAGCCAGGACUGCACAGAGAAACUCUGUCUCAAAGAAAACACAAGGGGCCUGGAAAGAUGGCUCAAAGGUUAAGAGCACUGACUGCUCUUCUAGAGGCCGGGAGUUCAAUUCCCAGAACCCACAUGGUGGCUCACAACCAUCUGUAAUGGGAUCCGAUGCCCUCUUCUGGGGUGUCUGAGGACAGCCACAGUGUAUUCAUACACAUAAAAUGAAAAUUAAAGAGUGAAUGCUUCUCUUGCAAAGGGUCAUAAGUUUGGUUCCCAGUACCAAUUGGGUGGCUCACAACCAGCUGUAUCUCUAGUUCCAGGAAAUCAGAUACCCUCUUCUGGCCCCCAAGGGAACAUGUAUUAUGCAUGUGAUGCACAUACAGAUAAGCAGGCUUGUGCAUGUGAGAACACACACACACAAUAUAUUUUAACAUAGAAACAAUCUAUAUAUUCACCCACAAAUAAAUGGAUAAGCCAAAUACCAUCCAUAAAGACAGUAGAAUGGUUUUUUAUCCUUAAGGUAGAAUAAAGUGGUGACCUUACAAGGCAGAUGAAGCUCAAAAAGAAAAAGAGUAAAAGAAGUCAAACACAGAGAGUGGUAGUAUAAUCCCAUUGAUAUGAAACAGCAAUAACAGCUAAAUGCAAAGAGGAAUUAUUUUCUCAGCUGACAGGUUGGCAGAAGAGGGUAAUACAGAAUAAUUGCCUAACAUAUCUGAGAUAUUCUUUGGAGCAAUGAAAAUAUUUGGGGAUCAUGAAAUUCUUGGACAAAUGGAUGUAUCUGGAGGAUAUCAUCCUUAGUGAGGUAACCUAAUCACAAAAGAAGUCAUUAGAUAUGCACUCACUGAUAAGUGGAUAUUAGCCCAGAAACAUAGAACACCCAAGAUACAAUUUGCAAAACACAAGAAAAUCAAGAAGAGGGAAGACCAAUGGGUGAUACUUCCUUCCUCCUUAGAAUAGGGAACAAAAUACCCAUGAAAGGAGUUACAGAGACAAAGUUUGGAGGUAAGACGAAAGGAUGAACUAUCCACAGACUACCCCACCCGGGGAUCCAUCUCAUAAUCAGCCACCAAACCCAGACACUAUUGCAUAUGCCAGAAAGAUUUUGCUGAAGGGACCCUGUUAUAGCUGUCUCGUAUGAGGCUAUGCCAGUGCCUGGCAAAUACAGAAGUAGAUGCUCACAGUCAUCUAUAAGAUGGAACACAAGGCCCCAAAUAGAGAAGCUAGAGAAAGCACCCAAGGAGCUGAAGGGGACUGCAACCCUAUAGGUGGAACAACAAUAUGAACUAACCAGUACCCCCAGAGCUCUUGACUCUAGCUGCAUAUGUAGUAGAAGAUGGCCUAGUCGGCCAUCACAGGGAAAAGAGGCUCCUUGGUCUUGUAAACUUUAUAUGCCCCAGUACAGGGGAAUGCCAGGGCCAAGAAGCGGGAGUGGGUGGGUAAGGGAGCAGGGUGGAGGGAGGGUAUAGGGAACUUUCAGGAUAGCAUUUGAAAUGUAUAUAAAGAAAAUAUCUAAUAAAAAAAGAAAAUAUUUGGGGAUCAAUAAAACCAGCAUACAAUGUUGUAAAUGUGAGGGAUGCCCUGGAUUGCCACUAAGAGUCAUCAAUUUUAGGUAAGGAACAUUUCACCUUAAUUUAAAAACUAAAACUACACUAUGGGCCGGCAUGGGCCUGCAGCACUACCUGCUAGCUUUGUCUAUAAAAAGUAGAGGUGGGACCAGCAGAGCAAGCUUCAUCUUGAGCUGAUGACCGGUGUAGAAACGCAGGUUCCAUCCAGGCCCAGACUCAGAACCUACCCUGAACAAGCUCUCCAGGUGACAUCACCAUAGGAGGCGCGUUUCCCAAGGCACUUACCAAAAAUGAGAUAGAUGGUCCAUGAGAACAUAUAUGCAUAGAGUAUUUUCAUGCACACAGGCGCUUGACUGAAAGAGGACAGCCCCGUGACAGAGGCAGGAAGCGAGAGGAAGCCUCUGGCAGGACAGAGUCCUGCCCAAGGUCUGUUGGUCCCUAAAGAGAAGUAAGCCUGCCAAGACACAGGACGUGUCCUGUCUCUUGAAGCAUGACACUAGUGCCUACCCUACCCGACCCUCAGGAAGGAAGAGGAGGGUGAAUAGGCAGAGAGUUCCACAUAGCUCUCCAUGUGUAAGCCUCUGCCCAAAGACCAGAGUGAGACCUAGGAACGCACAACUAUCACUUAAGAAAUGUCCUUGGAGUAAAGAUGUGCAGAUGACAGACCCGAGCCCCCACAUCUAAGGAUGGGUUUUGUCACGAACCCUGUGGAGAUUUGGUUUCCUUCUCUGUUAAGAGGCCCAAUAAUCAACUUCACAAAAGGAUAGUGGGAAGAUAAACUGGAAUAAGAAAGUUCAAAAUAAAUCAUCCUACGCAAGGACAACUGGUUAUGUUCUGCUCAGGUUUGGUUUUUGUUUGUUUAUUUGUUGACAACUUUAUACAAGCCAGGGUCAUCUAGGAAGAGGAAGCUUCAGUUAAGAAAACAGCUCCAUCAGACUGACCUACAGGCCAGUUGGGGCGAUGAUGGUGAUGAUGGUGGUGGUGGUGGUGGUGAUGAC